rnacentral:tRNA from 1 species
GGUUGUAGCUCAGUGGUACAGCACUUGCCUAGCACAUGUGAGGCCCUGGGUUCAAUCCUCAGCACCA